rnacentral:sRNA from 1 species
UGGGAGCAGCUGGAAAUGAAGGUCCAAUGUGCAAGAGAGAAGUCAGGAAGGAUACUCAUGGGGUCUGGGAUAGUUUAGGGGCCCAGCAGUGUUUGGGGAUAUCUGGGCUGAGCUGAGCCAGGGAUGGGAGGGUUGCCAGGCAAAGGCCCAUCUCAUCCCUGUCCUUUACCCUACCCUUCAAAGGUCCCAACGCUGGUGGAGGAGCUGAUCACAGUGGAGAUGUGGAAGCAGAAGGUGUUCCCUGUGCUCUGCAGGGUGGAGGACUUCAAGCCCCAGAACACCUUCCCCAUCUACAUGGUGGUGCACCAUGAGGCCUCCAUCAUCAACCUCUUGGAGACGGUGUUCUUCCACAAGGAGGUGUGUGAGUCAGCAGAAGACACUGUCUUGGACUUGGUAGACUAUUGCCACCGCAAACUGACCCUGCUGGUGGCCCGGAGUGGCUGUGGUAGCCCCCCUGAGGGGGAGGGGUCCCAGGACAGCAACCCCAUGCAGGUGGGUUGAGGUUACCUAGGGUUGUGAAAGCCUAGGUCUGGGUUCCCCAAGGCCUGUGCAGGCGAGGGUUGGCCCAGUGUGAACGCUGUGAUCUCCCAGGAGCUGCAGAAGCAGGCAGAGCUGAUGGAAUUUGAGAU